AACGAACGCUGGCGGCAGGCCUAAUACAUGCAAGUCGAACGCACCGCAAGGUGAGUGGCAGACGGGUGAGUAACGCGUGGGAACCUUCCUAGUAGUACGGAAUAACUCCGGGAAACCGGUGCUAAUACCGUAUAAGCCCUCCGGGGGAAAGAUUUAUCGCUACUAGAUGGGCCCGCGUCGGAUUAGCUUGUUGGUGAGGUAAUGGCUCACCAAGGCUUCGAUCCGUAGCUGGUCUGAGAGGAUGAUCAGCCACACUGGGACUGAGACACGGCCCAGACUCCUACGGGAGGCAGCAGUAGGGAAUAUUGGACAAUGGGCGAAAGCCUGAUCCAGCCAUGCCGCGUGAGUGAAGAAGGCCUUAGGGUUGUAAAGCUUCUUUUGGCGGGGAAGAUAAUGACGGUACCCGCAAGAAUAAGCUCCGGCUAACUUCGUGCCA
rnacentral:rRNA from 1 species